rnacentral:rRNA from 1 species
AGAUCGGGAUAACACCUGGAAACAGAUGCUAAUACCGGAUAACAACAGAUGAUGCCUAUCAACUGUUUAAAAGAUGGUUCUGCUAUCACUCUUGGAUGGACCUGCGGUGCAUUAGCUAGUUGGUAGGGUAACGGCCUACCAAGGCGAUGAUGCAUAGCCGAGUUGAGAGACUGAUCGGCCACAUUGGGACUGAGACACGGCCCAAACUCCUACGGGAGGCAGCAGCA